rnacentral:rRNA from 1 species
CAGCCGCCGCGGUAAUACGUAGGGUGCAAGCGUUAAUUGGAAUUACUGGGCGUAAAGCGUGCGCAGGCGGUUAUAUAAGACAGAUGUGAAAUCCCCGGGCUCAACCUGGGAACUGCAUUUGUGACUGUAUAGCUAGAGUACGGCAGAGGGGGAUGGAAUUCCGCGUGUAGCAGUGAAAUGCGUAGAUAUGCGGAGGAACACCGAUGGCGAAGGCAAUCCCCUGGGCCUGUACUGACGCUCAUGCACGAAAGCGUGGGGAGCAAACAGGAUUAGAUACCCCUGUAGUCCCUGUCUCUUAUAC